rnacentral:tRNA from 1 species
GCCUGGGUGGCUCAGUGGUUGAGCAUCUGCCUUUGGCUCAGGUCAUGAUCAUGGGGUCCUGGGAUCAAGUCCCACAUCGGGCU